rnacentral:rRNA from 1 species
UACGUAGGUGGCAAGCGUUAUCCGGAUUUAUUGGGUUUAAAGGGUGCGUAGGCGGAGUGUCAAGUCAGCGGUAAAAUUUCGGGGCUCAACCCCGUCGUGCCGUUGAAACUGGCGUUCUUGAGUGAGCGAGAAGUAUGCGGAAUGCGUGGUGUAGCGGUGAAAUGCAUAGAUAUCACGCAGAACGCCGAUUGCGAAGGCAGCUUACCGGCGCUCAACUGACGCUGAGGCACGAAAGUGCGGGUAUCGAACAGG